rnacentral:tRNA from 1 species
AGGUCUGUCGCCAAGCGGUAAGGCAACGGGUUUUGAUCCCGUNNUGAUCCCGUCAUACCUAGGUUCGAAUCCUAGCAGACCUGCCA